AUUUCACAAGGGGAAUUCAACUUGUACAGCAGCACCAAACCAAACAGACUUUUCCAGGUGCAAGCACGUCAUAGACGGUGCUCUGGAAGCAUCUCUUGCAACUGCGGCGUGGCCGUAAGGGAAGGUGACGACGCCGUCAUCAUAGACAGAUGUGACGGUGUCCGCCGGUCUCCAUCUUACAAGACUGCCAGUGGAGGUCCUUUGUCCCACGCAGUUACAAUCAAAACAGACACAACUGGAAACCAAAUCAGGGUUACAAUGCCUUCCGGAGCAAGUGUCAAGGUGGAAGGGCACCCCUGGAUGACGAUUACGGUACACGCCCCAGGGAUAGACUUCGGUCACACCAACGGACUCUGCGGGCUUUUCGACGAUAAUCCCCACAACGACCUGAUGAUGCCAGACGGCAGUAUCGCCAGUCAUCACA